GUCCACCACUUGCUUCAGCUGGAUCACUUUGCCGCCCCGCACUGCCUGGUCUGUCGUGAUCACCGUCUCUGCCCCGGCUGUGAAAGAUGUAGGGUUCUGAUGGCAGUUCAAACGCCAGUUACCAUUGCAUUAAAAGAAGCUACGAAAAAGGGAGACCGCUACUUCAACAUCACCCUUACAUAACCACCCCACACCACAACAUGGGAGAGGAACGGGACCAACCAGUGAGGGUGAAAGCUGUUACCAUCACCCGCCCCAGUCACUUCCCUUCCCUUCCCUUUGGUUGAGCGGCGCCAGGAGAAAGUGAGAGGUUGAACAAGGCACGAGGUGAAGAAGGAUCAUCACGUGACCUGCAGUGAAGUACUUUUGCCAUUCACCGGUGAUGAUUGUUCAUAUACAGUGCUGUGUUGGUGUAUUCUUGUAUUUACCUGCUUUUAACCUCUCACCUUCCUUGUUUGCGGUGUUUAGUAAUGUGAUAUACUUGUGUGUGACGCAGAUCAUUCAGUUUUCAAGAUUUA